UUGAGUUAUUAAGUGUGUUUAAAUAGUUACAAAUUUAUUUGGUUGUUGAACUGUAAAAUAUGUAGUGUUUUUACUUUAAUGUGUAAAGUACUACUUUAACCCUCAUUUACGGGUUAAAAAAUAUUUGAUAAACUUGUAUAAUUCGAUUCAAUCAUUAGAAUUUAAUGAUUUACAAGGUGAUUUGAAUAUUUUAGAAGCAUUCGGUUUUAAAACUAUAAACAAUGAUAAUUUAAGUACAUAUAUACGUUUAAAACAAAGUUAUAAUAAUACAAAUGCAUAUUAUUGGAGAAGUGGUGGUUCAUCUGAAAUUCGAAAAUUAAAAUCAUUUGCAUUUGAAUGUGUUUUUCGUAUUGAUGAAAAUAUUUUAAAUAAUUUACAUAAAAAUGAAUUUAUAAUAUUUUCAUUAGAAAAUGUUCAAGGUUCAAAAAAUAUUUUUGAAAUUGGUUUAGAUCAACAGCAUUCAUUAAAAUUUAGUAUUAAAAGUCAAAAUUAUAAUGAUAGUACGACAACAUUUGAUAAAGUUGGUGCAGGUAGUUGGCAUAAAUUAUUAUUAUCAUAUGAAAAUGGUAAAAUUGAAUAUUGGUUCGAUUGUAUGUCAAAACAAAUAGCAGAACAAAUUUAUCCAAUUGAAUUGGAAGUGCGUCAUAGUUCAGCAAUUGAUUUUUUUGUUUUUAUGGUUGGAUAUUUUAAUGAAAAUGGAGUUGCGGUUCGAAGAAAUUUUGGAAAUUUGGAUAUUUCAAAAUUGAAAUUUUAUAGUGGAUAUUUGCGGCCAUCUGAAUGGAAUUGUUGUGAUGUACCAAAUGUUUGCAAAUAAAUUGAAUUCCACAAUUUUAUAUAAUAUUAUUUUGCUUUUAUAAAUUUCAUUUAUAAUAAAUUAUUAGUUAGUAUGAUUUGAUUUAUAUAUUAUGUACCCUAUGUUACCAAUAUUAGUUUUGUAAUUUCAUACAACAGUUUUGUAGAUUUCGAUUUGUAAAACGUAAUACUCUAAACAGUUGCGAUCAAAAAGGCAAAAUAUUGAAAUUAAAUUGUAAGAAACCUCAGAAACAGCCAAAUCAAUUAUUUUAAAAUUUUCAAAAUACAUUAUGUAUAUGUGUUUGUUUAUAUAUCGCUGUUUAGUUUGAUUUCGUUUAUAUUGAUUUGAAUU